GAUGAACGCUGGCGGCGUGCCUAAUACAUGCAAGUCGAGCGAAUGGAUUAAGAGCUUGCUCUUAUGAAGUUAGCGGCGGACGGGUGAGCAACACGUGGGUAACCUGCCCAUAAGACUGGGAUAACUCCGGGAAACCGGGGCUAAUACCGGAUAACAUUUUGAACCGCAUGGUUCGAAAUUGAAAGGCGGCUUCGGCUGUCACUUAUGGAUGGACCCGCGUCGCAUUAGCUAGUUGGUGAGGUAACGGCUCACCAAGGCAACGCUGCGUAGCCGAGCUGAGAGGGUGAUCGGCCACAAUGGGGCUGAGACCCGGCCUAGACGCCGACGGAAGGCAGCAGUAGGGAAUCUUCCGCAAUGGACGAAAGUCUGACGGAGCAACGCCGCGUGAGUGAUGAAGGCUUUCGGGUCGUAAAACUCCGUUGUUAGGGAAGAACAAGUGCUAGUUGAAUAAGCUGGCACCGUGACGGUACCUAACCAGAAAGCCACGGCUAACUACGUGCCAGCCGCCGCGGUAA
rnacentral:rRNA from 1 species